GCAAGUCGAGGGGUAACAGGAGUUCUUGCACUCGCUGACGACCGGCGCACGGGUGCGUAACGCGUAUAGAACUUACCUUUUACAGAGGGAUAGCCUUUAGAAAUGAAGAUUAAUACCUCAUAGUACUAUAGAUUCGCAUGAAUUUAUACUUAAAGAUUUAGCGGUUAAAGAUGGGUAUGCGUCCUAUUAGCUAGUUGGUAAGGUAACGGCUUACCAAGGCAGCGAUAGGUAGGGGGCCUGAGAGGGAGAUC
rnacentral:rRNA from 1 species